ensembl:lncRNA
CAGAAUAUUAUUAAUUCAGUUCUGAAACACCUUGGUCCCUUAAGAAAAAAAAUACAUAGGUUCAAUUUGUUACCACUGUGUUGGCAGCAGCUGGAUAGAGGUACUUAAAUGUCAAUAUUCUGGUCUUAGCUUGCAGUGGGUUCCUGGAUGUUUGAUUCAUGAAGAAAAAAAGUUAAAAAACAAAUGUUUAAAUGAGUGAGUGAAAAGUACGAACCAAUGAUAAAUAUGUUUUAUUCUUUUUCACGUCUGUUUUGUACCCCAGAAUGGCUGCCCCUUGGCUGUUUCAAUCAUUAUUUAAUGAUGAAGAUCUUGACUGUUAUCUGUGUGGCCAAGGAGAAUAUAGAUCAGGGUAAGUAACAGAUUAAGAUUUUAUUCUUGGUUUGGUUAUUUUGUUUAUGGAUGAUGGCUAUAUUAUUUAAAAAAAAUAAAUGGCUUCAUGCAGUCAUAAAAUCAAAUCAAAGAAGACCAUGCAUGGACCAGUGGUAAGAAUUUGUCCUGGCAAGGGUUGUGGUUAAUUCAUUUUGCAAAACUGAAAAAAAAUAGAUUUCCAUUGAAACAGUAGGUUUAGACCACUGCCUCUUAGGUUGAGAAGGUCAUAGACACAUUCUAGUCUUAGUCAAAGAUCCUCUUCUUGGGUUGAUUGUGUUUUCCUUGGGUUUUAUUAUUUUAUUAAAAAUAAUAAGUCAUUAAACAAGUUAAAAGUAAAUAUGCUAGUAAAAUUACAAUGGUCACUCAUGACCAAUAACGUGAUGAUUCAUGAAACAAGGGUCUAUUUAACUUGUCAGCUAUAUUACCACCCUGUUGAAGGAGUACUUAGAGACACAUAAUGCUCAAAAUUUUCCUUCUCGUUUGCAAGUAGAUCCUUUGCUGUUGACUUUAUUUUUGAAAAUGAGUAACUAAACUAACAAACAAGGGAAAAUCCAUAUAGAAAGAAAAUUAAAAUAAUCAGGAAUAUUCCAAUGAUAAAAUUUUACACAACAAGAAUUAUGAUCGAGCCAGUUUUGCUUCUGUGAGAUCCAUUUAUGUCAAAAGAUUUAGUCUGUUACCUUUGUAUAUAAUGAGGGGAGACACAGAUGUUAAAAUAUUCAUUGUUUUUGUUCUUGUAUUUUGAUGGGUUCAUGGGUGUUACUAUUACUGUUGUUAUUAUUUAGCAAAUCAGUCUAUGAAAAACUAAAUUAUAAGUGGCCAAAUCAUGGGCCACUGAUGGAAAUGUGUUUUGAAACAAGGAUUAUGAUUAUUGCACUUCUGCACCACUGGCAUUUCUGAAGUAAAACGUUUACCUUUUUUUAAUCUGUUUCAAUGGUGUGUGUAGUACUACUCCACACGUUGUUUUGCAAUAAUUUGGAUAUUUUUGCAUGCGAGUUACACAAUUAUUUUCUUCCAUUAUCUCAGGCACAAAUACUAGUGACCUGAUUUGUUUGGAGGUGGUUGGCAGGAGGCUCCUAUGCCCCAUAUUUAAAAGUCUUCUGGCCCUUGUGUCUGGGAGAGUGCUAAAAUAAUUGAUACUAAGGUACUAAUUUCAGCGGCACAGGUAUUGACCCGAAUCUGUAUCAGGCUCUGUGUUGGGCGUGACACCCACAUCUGAAUCCCACAGCUCUUUGGGAUUAGGUGGAAACCUACUUACAAAUGUAACAAUUCAGUAUAAUGGGGAAGUAGAUGAACUUUCCAGAAGCACAGAAGGUGGGCCCUUGGCUCAACCUUAAGUAUCAGAUGUUUUAUAGAAGAGAUGAUGCUUGAGCCAAUGACAGACUCACUAGGCUGUAAGUGCCAUGAAGCUAAGAAUCAUAUUCCUCUUACCCACUACUCUGCCCAUUGUGCCUAGCACAUACAGCGCAUGUAAUAAACAUUUGUCGGAGUCGUGGAAUGAAUGAUGAAUGAAAUAAAGCAUGAAUGAGUGAAGCAAUGAUUUAGUGAAUGAAUGAAUCUGUGUAAACAGGAAUGAAAAAAAUGAAUGAAAAUGUGAAGGAGUGCACAAAUGAGUGAACAAAUCUGCAAUGAGUUGAAUAAGUCAAUAAGUGCACAAAUGCAUGAUGAAUUAAUGAGUGGAUGAGCCAAUGGGUAAGUAAAAAUGUCAGCAGGUGAAUGAGUGAGUGAUAAAUGAACCGGUCAGUGAGUGGAUGAAGGAAAGACUGGUGGUAGGUCAAUGAGUCAAUAGGUGGAAGGUCAGUGCACAAGCGGAUGAGUGAAUGAAUAACUGAGUCCCUGAAUGAGGUUAUGAAUUAAUGAGUACAUGAAAGUUAAUUAGUAAUGAGAGAAUGAAGGAAUGAGUGAGUCAAUGUAUGAAUCAACUAAUAAGUAGAUGCGUCAAUGAGUAACCAAAUUAAUUGAUUAAUAAUUAAAAAAAUGAGUGAAUGAAUAAAUUAAUAAAUGAAUGAAAAAGGAAAAAGUUGAAUAAUUUAAGUAAUGAGUAAAUAAAUAAGUCGAUGAGUGAGACUAAUGAGGGAAUGAAUAGGCAAAUGGCUGGAGGAAUGAAUAUAUUAGAAAAAAUGAAUAAAAGAAUGAAUUAGUGAGUGAGUAAAUGAGUCAAUAAAUGAGUAUGUAAUCUAGGAAUAAAUGAACUGCUUUGUGAGUGAAUGAGUGAAUGAGGGAAUGAAUCCAUAAAUGAAUGAGUGAGUUAGUGAUCCAUGUGUGAGGCAAUGAGUGAAUGAACUCACACUGGGAUUCCUUCCCUGACCACUCCAAAGAAAGUUAGCCAUCCCGCAACCUCACAGCACAUAAUAGACACUUCAACCCAUCCUGCUCCAUCAUGGUCGUUUGUUUACAUGUCAUCACUGAACUAACUAUCCUGAGAGCCAGGAACGGGGUCAGAUUCUUGUUUGUAUCCCGAGCUCCUGCCCAGCCCUGAGUCUAGGAGGCGCCCAGUGAAUUAUCGCUGAAUGAAUGAACGAAUAACUAAAAAUACAUGUGCUUUUGUGGAACCAGGCUGGCCCUUCUCAGAAUGGUCUGGGAGCUGUUCUGUGGGGAAGCACGUGUGUGUCAGAUGCUCUGUGGCAUCCUCCUACGCAAGCCCAGCGUCUCCCUUGAGUCCAGCUUCCUGUGUCCACUGCCAGACGGUGAGACAGGAUACUGGCAGUUCUGACUGCCCUGGACGUUGGCCCAUCCUUGGGCAACGUUGGCUUGGCAUGGUGGAAUGGAAGCCCUGGGGCUUCCCGAAAGCUGCCCUUGCCUCUGCCAAGACAGGAGAUCGAAAAUAACCCCAUCUUGUUUUUGUGCCUCCAGCGAGUGGGCCUGCUUCUUGCCUUGCCAAGCAAACUGAGUCCCUCCUGGGUCUAGCUGUGGGACUCUGGGGUGGAUGUGAAGCACCUCUGGCUGUACAGCUCCAGCUUCGUCAGUGAGAUGAGGAUAACGAUGCCUAUCUGGCUGGAUUGUGCUCCCGAAUGGAUGUGAUACCCAAAUUCCUCUGUUCCAGAAGAAUGGAGAGUUCAACUAAGUUCUGGAAGAAUGCCAGUUUUGAUGGGACAGGCCAGCCUAGACCACGCACCUUUAAGGCAGCAUAACCUCCCCUUCUACCAGGGACAGACAACGAGAAAAGUGAGUAGGGGACACCUUUACUCCUUGUGGGGCAUUUGCCCAAGACCCACCCACCUACCCUCCCUCUCACCCUUCCCCCCUUUCUCCAACCCUCUCUCCCUCCCUCCCUCCCUCCCUCCUUCCCUCGACAGUUGUUUCUUCAGCGCCCACUGUAUGCCUGACACCGACCCCUGCUCUUAUUCUCUUUUCUUGGCUGGCUCUGGACCCUGGCUCCAUCCUGGUUUUGCAUCCUUCCUUUGGACUUGGUGAUGGUACUCCGUCAUCUGGCCCGGAAUAUAGCCCCUCCUUCAUGAGGAUUUGAUUUCAGCUCAAACCAUUGGCCUUUCUACUUCAGACUGAAUCAGGUAGAUUCCUCCUUCUUAGCUGUGGACACCUGGGACCCUAAUUUUGAAUCUUCUAGGUUGACUAUCUCCCAUCUGGGAAAUCUCCCGCCCUUCCUACGAGGAGUUGGGCCAUGUUGGUGGCAGGUGGGCCCUCUGAAUGCUGAGGGUGGGCAGCAGGAUCAGUGUCCAUGGCUUUGGUCCGGUGUCUGAGAUUGGACCGGCCAACAUGUGCAGAUCCGGGGACAGGAGUUAGGCUCUCACGUUCCCCAGAACUCCUGGGUAAAUGCGUUCAAGAGUUGCCAGUUAAUUUUAGUCUGGUACUUGCCACUGGUUGCUCGGCUUUAUGCUGAGCCUAAUACAAAUGUCACCUGCCUCUCACUCUCACAGUCCCGGGCCCUGUCCUUUGGCCUCCCACGUCUCUUUGUCCAAAUUUGUCCUUUCUCACUCAUUUAUCCUCAUCCAUACCCCUGACAGAACCCACGUUCAUUGUUAAUUAUGAGCUGCCAGUUUCUCCCAAAGGGCUAGGAACCUCUGGAGAACAGGGUCUUCCUUUUGUGUCUUUAGAGCCCAUCACAAGGUCUAAACAUUAGGAAAUGUUUGGUGAAUUAAUCAUUCAUCCUUUCAUUUAUUCAAAAAAAUAUCGGGCCCUUUCUGUGGUCCCAGAGGCUGGGUGAUAAAUAGCAAGAAAUAAGACAUACCCCUCUCUGCCGCUGUGGCGCUCCAAGUCUUAGAUGGGAGAGAGAUUUUAAACACGUGUUCAUGGCAAAAUUACUUAAUGACACUUGUGAUGAGCGCUGGGGAACCAGGGGGCCGGGGGUCGUUAACCUGCCAGCCGAGCUGGGCUUGACCCUCAGGAUGAGCUCCCUCUGCUUCUCUCUCGUGUUUUGGGGAGACACUGAAAGCAGGACAAGGCUGUAGCCGUGGUCGGAGCUGGCUCAUGGCUUUGGCUCCCUGGGGUCAGGUCAGCGGGGUCUUCAGACAUCCUCAGAGGCGAGAGACCAGUGGAUUUGGACUUUCUGUGGCUGCUGCCUGGCUGCCACCUGGGCGGCUGGGACCCUGCACACUUUGCGUUUCACUCAAGCCCCGUGCUUGAGAAGGCAGGCUCUGCUGAGCGUCAGUGCCCUGCCAACUUUGAGGUGUUCCUCUUGGAUGUGUUGCCAAGUGACAAGCUAAGGGUAGAAUGGAAUACGUAUCGACCUUUUCUCCUUCUCUGCCACAUCUCAUUCUGGGUUUCUCCUAAUGGCUGCCUGGAAAGCAUCCUGUCGCUAAUGGGACUGUAACAUUCAUGAUGGAAACCCAGCAGUUGGGCUCACAUUGUUGCGGUCACCAUCCCUGGUGCCUCCCUCCUUCCCCCGGCCCCCAGUGUUCCAUCCUACCCCGUCAGCAUCUCUCCAGGGAGCCCGUUGAGUCUACCUUUCUCCUCUCUACCGCCACCACGUCAGUCCAGGCUUCCCUCGUCUCAGACUGGCAUCGGCCUCUGACCUGGUCUCUCUGCCCCCUCCUCCAGGCUGUUCUCUUCACUGCAGUCAGUGCGAUCUUUCUAGAAUGCAUGAGGAAGAGUCCCCUGCUCCUUAGAGCUCUCACGAGUCCCGGAAACCCCAGGGUGAGGUCCAGACUUCUUGGUUUCACACUCAAGGAUCUUCAUGACUUGGCGUGUGGCCACACCUCCCACUGCAUGCUCCCUGGCCUCGUGUGCCACCUGGCAGACCCGCCCCGAGUCUGCAUGUGUCUGUGUCUCUGUGCCUUUGCACAAUCUCAUCCUCUAGCCCUCUCCUCAUAAGGCUUGGUAGCUGGAGGGCUUGUCCCCUCCAAGGUGGGAUGAGCACCCCACACUUGGAACUGUCACACCGCCUGAACUUGACCCCCACUGAGAAACCUGUCCUGUUGCUUGGUCGCGAUCUGUUUAGGGGCCUGCCUUUCCAAGACCUGUAGCUCCCCAGCUGUGGGUGCUCGGUCUUGGGUGCCUCAGACCACUCCCGCACCGCCCCCCCCCCCCCACUAUCCGGCAGAGAACCUGUGCAGGGUAGCUGAUCGAUCACUGAGAAUGCUGGUUGAAUGAAGGAAUGAAUGAAUGUACAAGAGAAUGCUUGUCAGGCCAUACUGGGGGACAAACUGUAUCCCUGGCAGAGAACUGGGGUCCUUGGCCCUGGAGAGUAGCACCUCCUCAUUACUGAGGCCUGUGCUCCUUCUCCAGCCAACUCCACUUUGCCUUCCGCCUGUGACUCAUUAAGAGAUAUGUAACCUUAAUCCUUGAAAUUGCCGGGGAUGAAGCAUGUUUUCAUUCAAUGGCAUGAACAUGGGGAUUUUAUUCCUUUCUUAAAUAAAUCUCACUCCCCCAGGAAGUUUGGACAGGAUGUGGGCGAUCGGACUAGGGGUUGAAAGUGGACAUUUUGCAAAAGGCCUGUUUCAAAAUUUGAAACCCCGUGGCCACUGGCCAGAGCUGAGUGUGGCUUGUGGGGGUCGCUGGGGCCUCCUCUCAAAGAAGGGAAGGGAUGAUUGAAAACAAACCUUCAGCUGUCACUGAGUAGGCUGAUGGCUCACAAGACAGAAUUCCGCGGUUUGGUUUUGCUUCUCUGAGGAAACUUGAGCGAGCUCGGUCACCCUCAUUAGCUCUUCUUUCAAGCUUUCGGCUGAGGCCUGAAGCCCUCCUGAAGCCCAGGGGGAGUUUGAGCUGGUGCUGACAUCAGUGGGACGAGUGUGUGAGUGCUAGAGGAGACUGCGGCCCUGGCCCAGGCCCAGGGGGAAGGAUGCUCUGAGGCAGGCCCAGGGGACCGUCUAGCCCAGCUCGGGGGACCAUAGGGGCUGGCAGCUCACCCCCCCCCCCCCCCGCGAGGAGGCACAAAGUGGGACUGAGGAGAAAGAAUAAUAACGUGACAUUAUGCCUGUUGUCACCAGGCACGGCCACAAGUUUUCUCUUUCAUCCCAAAGUGGGUGCCAUCAGUUCCUUGUUGUGGAGAUGAGCAAGCUGACCACUGAACUGCAGCUCCCAUCAGGGCCACAGUGUGGCCCAGGCAGCCCUGACUCCAGGUCCAGUGCUCUUCUUAGUCUUCUCCUCAGUGGGUACCCACCACGCAGAGCCAGGGCUGAGGCUGGCGCUCCGGGAUCACGGAUGCGGCUGGUUAGAGGGGCGGGACACGGGGUUCAAUGGUCCCGGAGACCAGUUCUCAGUGUUCGAGCUCUCAUGACUGGCUGUCCCACUGUCCUUUGCUGUCCUCAGCAAGUGGACCCUGGCCCUGGACUGGCCCCCAUGACAGGGAGAUUCCAUUGUCCCUUGUUUUCUUUUGACUUCUUUUUUCUUUUCUCUGCUAGGAAAGACAGCAGUUUGUCCCUUUGGAGAAGUCACCGGUGUCCUCCAGCUCUCCUUCACGCCCUUCGUCGGUAAAAGGGAAGGAGUUUCAUUCAUUUAUUUGUCAGAAAUCCUGAUGUGCCAUGUACUAAUAGCGAGCCUCGGCCCCUGAAUGUGGUGCUGGCCCGGGAGUGUGUACGUGGUCUGCUAGGCAGACAGCAUGCGGGGACACGUCGGGAGUUCACACCACGUCUGAGAUGAGGGUCAGACUCUUAACACACGUGUUAGUCUCUGGUCCCUUCCCUUGCUAAAUCUUCAAUUACUGUGUUAUAGUCAUUUGCUAGGAUACUGUGUAACUGUUAAAGCAUCACAAGAUAGGAAGCUCUUGGAUGGCGUGGGAAAACAUUCAGGAUAUAUAGUUAGGUGAAAAAAUUAGGAUGAGUCCAAUUAAAAUGAUGAUGAGUCCAAUUAAAAAUAUGUAUACAGGAGCCAGCCUCGUGGCGUAGUGGUUAGGUUCAUGCCCUCCGUUUUGGUGGUCCCAGCUUUGCAGGUUUGGAUCCCGGGCACAGACCUACACACCGCUCAUCAAGCCAUGCUGUAGUGGCGUCCCAUACACAAAGUAGAGGAAGAUUGGCACAAAUGUUAGCUCAGGGACAAUCUUCCUCAAGCACAAAGAGGAAGAUUGGCAACAGAUGUUAGCUCAGGGCCAGUCUUCCUCACACACACACACAAAAUAUAUAUAUGCAUACAUACAUGUACACAAGCACACACACACACACCUCACACUCUCUCUCUCUCUCAAAGGUGCCACCAGUUCUCGCUCACAUAAAGGCUAUCUCCACUUGCCUUCUUGUCCCCACAUCUUCCCUCCAUCAGGCUCCCCAGGCUCACAGGGGAUCUCAUUGUCCUCCAGCGAGCUUUGCAAAGGGUGAUGGUUCCUUCUUCCCUCCAUCUGAGCCUUGAGCUGGAGCCAAUGACUACCCAGCUUAGCCUCAGUUUCCCCACCCGUAAAAAUGGAAAAAGGAUGAUGACAUGAAUCUCUGCCAUCACCGUUUGCCGUCUGGGGAGAGAGGAGACUUCUCUCCAUUUGACUCUGGUCCCGACCCUCCUCCUCUCUGUCCUUCCAGAGCCUUGAUCCUCACUCGUAAUUUUGGGGCCAGUUAUUAUAUUUUCUUUUCCCUCGGAUCUGAGGCCAUACUUGAAGUGUGGGGGAGGUCACCAAAGGUGUCACAGAAGACAGAGAGAGUGACAGGGCCGCCUGGGACUGUUGGGUGUGAGUGCUUCACUCUGCGGGGCUCCUGGCUUGUCCUCCCAGGCCCCUUCUCCUCACCCUCCCUUCUUGGGGACUGCGGCUACCAGAGCUGGAUUUGCACUGGGAGGAAGUAGGGGCAGAGUUGGGGAUGGGAGAGGGUGGGGUUGGCUGGAAGACGAGGCCCCACCACACGGGGGUUAUUCUCUGGGGUGCAGCGGGCACCAAAGAAAAGGGUGAGCUAGAAAGUGCUGGGCAGAUGUUGGAGAAACCAGGGAGGGAGCGACCCCUCCUGGACCCCCAGCCCACCCCUGCAUGGCCCCCCAGAGAGCCGCGGAGUCCGUUGGUGCUGCUACAUUUACCACCUCGCAGAAGCCCCUCUUACAGAGAAGGAAACUGAGGCUCAGAUGUGCCCAGCCCAGCGCCCAGGUCCGGGGUGUGUCCCAUGUCCCCACAGCAGCCCCAAAGUUUGGUCUCUCUCCGGGAUGCACAGGCCGAAGAAUGUGAGGCAGAAGGGGGCUCAGUACCCGGGGCCUGGGGUCUGCUGUUUCCGUCAGUGGGGCUGGAGGCGGCAUCUUCUUUCCCGCCUGAGAGCACUGCGGCUCAUGUUCAUGGCUUGCUCAUCGGGAUGAAAGAACUUUACACAGUUUCCUGGCCACAUCUACCAAUUCGGUGACCCUUCAUAAAAGCCCCACAGGAACCCCAAACAGCAUGUUUCAAAAUACACAGAACUCAGGCCGCUGCAGAGCUCAGAGCCCUGCUGCUGGCCUGGCCCAUCAAGGGAGGGUGGGUCCAGGGCCACCCUAGGCCUGCCUGAGCUUGCCGCCUACCCCAGAGCCCACUUGGUGGUCACCAGCCCCCAAAUCCCCUCUUCCGUGACCUUGGGGAGAGCCUCAACUGGGAGGCUGUUCCUCCGCCUUCAGACCAGUCAUUUCUUCCACGUUAAGAAGAGUCCGCCUGAGCUGGCCUGCUGGGCCGGGGAGGCGGGGCUAUAGUUGUAUUAACAGGAGCAGAGUAGAUGGUGAAGCAUGGCUCCUGAAUCCAGUGUUGGGGGCGGAGCCAGGCUGGGGCUCUUCCUCCACAUCAAGGUGGCAGGGAGCCACAGGACCACGGGCCUGUAGGAAUAUCCCCCGGCACAGGGGGGUGCAAGUCCCUGCUAGCGUUCUAGGUCGGAGGUGGAGCCAUGGUGGGUGUAUGGAUGGGCAUUAAAUCUUUGAAAAGUUGAGUAAAGAUAGUAGAAGAGCCUUCAUGGACCAGUGAUGACUGGUUCAUGGAAUAAAGGCUGUCGUCAGUCCAAUUCUGUGUGUACCUGGAGUCACAGGUGAUAAUAGUUAUAUUAACAAUAGCGAGAACUCAACGGGCUGCCAUCUGAGCGUGCUGAUCUGCUAGGCCCGUCCCGGGGACCCCUGUGUUCCUUAUCUCCACCCAUGUCCCGGUUAGUCCUGAAACGGAGGUCCCUUGCCUCUCCUUCCUUUCCUCCACCUGCUCCAGCCUGUUUGCUGUGAUUUCCCAGUUCACACCUCCUGUGAGCUCUCUCACUCUGGGAGGAUCUCCCUGUCCCCCAGAGACCCCCUGGUGCUGCUCAAGAUUGCCCCAACAGACCUGCUGUGUUUCGUUCCAGAGCUGUGUCUCACAUUGAAUUACUAGGAUCCUGAGGGCCGGCUCUGGUCAGCUCCAUGUCCCCGCUGCUGGGCCUCACCAUUCCCAAAGUACCCCUCAGGGAGUGUUGACCCAUUCCCUAUACCCUUUUGGUCAGACACGCACUCAAACAGUUGCAUUUGGUUUUGUGACUCGGCCCUCUUGUCUUGGAAGGUCCUUCUGCAUGGAGCCUGGAGCCGUGAGGCGUGGUUGCUCCAGGACAAGGCUUCCUGAAGACACCUCUGAUGGGUGGAGCCCUGGCUUCGCUGGGAGGACUUCCCAAGGCGAUGCCCACCUGGAGGAAGGCGGUGGUCCCCAUGGCAGCUCCAUGCCCGGGAACACGCAGGUAAGUCAUCUGUGGCUGCAUUUGUCUGGCUUCUGACAGAUCACACAAAGCCAGCCCAGGUCAGUAUCCAGCCCACUUUGGAGGGAUGGCUGGUGUUUGCCACUUUCAGUGAUGGGCUUGGAGUCAGCGCAGCCCGUGUUAGGUGAAUGCCUGUUGCAUGGAGAGCAUGCCCUGGGCAGACAAUGUCGGUGGCUUGGACCACUGCCCCUCAGCCUGCAGUUUAUUCUGAAAGGAUAUUCUGGAUAUAAUGACAUCUUUGGGAAGAAAAGCUGGUUUCGAGAUCAAGAUGAGACCUGGGGGUCCCUGGAAUUGGUCUGGGGUGGGACCUGUUUAUUUCUAACAUGAAUUCUGGAGCUGAUUUAUUUUUAAAUCUGGAGGAAUGCUUGAUGCUAUGCCAAUUUAGGGGGAAAGGGCUUUGUCAUCAAUUCUAAUCCAGGAAAAGUGAGCAGAAAGCCGCCUACAGGCCAAGUGCUUUACCAGGGACACGCCUGGUCCACGGACCACCGUAUCCAAUCCAGCGCUAGCAGGCGAUGCUGCUGUGAGGGAGGAGGCUGUGCUUCUGUAGACGCUUCUUCUCUGUGGCACUCAGGAGAGGUUUCCUUGGGUGUAUUCAUUUCUUUUACGACAAGUCAUUCCCGCUGACCACUCUUCAGUAUCCAACACCCCUUGAAAGCCUUCCUGGACGAGACAGAAGCUGUAAGCCCCAGCCCGGGCUGAGUGAGCCGAGGCCGCUGCUUCCCUCUCUCUGCACAUCGUGUCUGAUGCUAACGCUCCUUCCCAGGAGGACGUCAUGGAGGCAACGCCACCGCCCGGGAAAGAAGGUGGUUCUCGUCCAGCUCUAAGGCCAAGGCACAGAGAAUCGCACCUUGUCUGGGAGACUGCUUGGACCCCUGGCCACUUCCAAGCAGCUGCCUGGGUGUCAGCCCCAAGCAGGCCACGUCACCUGCCUCUUGACCGCAGAAUGCAGCAUUUACGUGUGAACUCUCUCCUCCUGCACUGACAUCAGGAUGCAAACCAGUGCUGGAGGCGCUUCCUGAGGGCUGACUUCCAGAAGGAUGCUGUGGCUCCACCUUCAGGAACCCCAGUACCUGGAGAGAGGUUGUACCCUAAAUGUCCUCUGUCUUGGUGGAAAUGAUUUCACAGGACCGUCUUUCAGUAUCAAGUCUUAAAGGGUUUCUUGGCUGACCUGCGUAGGCCACUCUAGGCUCUCCGCUUAUAUAGGACACGUGACAUCCAGUUGAUCUGGUACAAUGUAGACUUGGGAAAACUUCCUGGAGGUGACACCAACGUCAGUGAAGAUUCAGAAGUUUUUUGUUUUGUUUUGUUUUUGUUUUUUUUUGUUUUUUUGAUCAGUGCUAAUCUUCGAUACUCGAAGGAGAGGUUGUCCGUGUUGUCUUCUCUUUAUUUAUGAUGAAACAUACACGGGAAACCUCUUUUUUAGUAUCAAAUCCCACCCUGGAGGCACUUCCUGUUCCUGAUGCGGCCUUCAGGGAGGGGACCUUGCCGCUGCACUCUGAGUAGGCCCAAGGAAGGUGGACUGUGUGACGUGAUGUGGGAAGUGAGGGGUGAGGGGUGUGCGGCCCUGAGGAUCCAGCCGCCUGUGGACAUCUCCUUGGAAGGGAAGCCAAGUUUGGAGAAGGGCCCAUGUUUCUGUGGUGGAGGGAGGUUAUUCACUGUGGUUUUCAUCCAUUCGAUGACUCAGGGUGGGUGGUGGCUCUUCAGCUGUGGGGUCUUGCUCCGAUGGCAUUCUGGACACACUGGCAGCAUCACUGAAGGGACUGUAGUGCCAUCCACUCUGCAGGGUAGCUGAGGGGAUGGUAGACCGGUGACGUGCACUUCAUUUAUGAUGUAGGUCACCCGUUUGACUAUCCAUCAGCACCCAGUCCAUCUGUGGGAUGGCAUCUUGGUGCACAUGGCAACUCUGGAGAAGAUGCAGGAGGAUUUGGGGCCAGUGUGAAUCCGCAGUGUUUCAGGAGGGGUCACCCUUUUGGGGGCUCCCCUUCCCACCUUUUAAAAGUAAAUACAAGCAAUCAUCAGUGAAUAAUCUCUGUGUCAAAUCCUGCCCAGGGGGACUAUUAGCCCGAUCACAGAAAAUGUCAAGGAAGAGGGCCUGGUAUCAGGACCCUUGCCAGGGGCAGGCCCACCCCAUAGCGUGUGUGGAAUGCAGGGUGUUGCCUGGUUCAGGGGUCCAGUCUGUUUUCGGGGGGGCUUGGGAUGUGUGUGCAGUAGUGCCAAUGUUGGGAGCGUCUGUGGUUGUGAUGUCAACUAUGUUCUGUGGUCCCUGAAGCCUGUCCGAGGAGCUUGCCACGUAUAUGAUGAGUGUCACAUGGCCCAUCUCUUUCCAGUGGUAAAUACCACCCUGGAGGAUGUCCUGGAUGGGAGGCCAGAUUCGGGCAGGGCCGUCGGUGUCUGCACCACUACUGGUGAGUGAAUGGAUGAGGCCGGAGGAGCUGGCAGUGUGGCUCUCAUGCCCCUUGUGGGCCAUGACCGCUUAGAGGCUAGCCUCUCCCUGGAUGGGUUUCAGGUCCACCAUCAUCACUUGGGGGAAGAGGCUUUGUUGCCAUCACUCAUUCUGUGUCUGUUUUCCCCCUUCGGCUGACUUGUGAGGAUCCAGAGAUGGGUUGUUUUUCGGCGUCACAUCCUACCUAAGACGCAUUCUGGAUGUGACAGCAGCUUCAGAGAAGGGACGUUGGCGUCGUCAUCAGUGAAGGACCGCUUCUGGAGAGAGGCCUCAGGGGUGCAGAUGGGCCGCCCCGUCCCUCGGCGUCGUCCUCGGCUGGCUGGCCCACUGUUCUCGCAGCAACGGCAGGGCCACAAGACAGCAAGGGCCAUCGGCAUGGGCCCCUCUCCAGGAGACCUGAAGGGUGGAUGGUGGACUCCUGAGCAUCUCCCUUGACCCGUUCGGCCUCAGCGUCCCUCUCUCCCUGGGAGGAGUUUCCGGAAGUGGUGCUGACUUUGAGGAAGGCAUCUGCUUGUCCCUGCUCUUAGGCUCUCUGUGACGGGUUUGCUGUAUUUGUCACAAGUCAUGCUGAAGUGCCGGCGGUUAGAACCAAACCACAUCUCGAAGGAACCAGGAGUGUCCUUAAGGCGGGGAGAACUGGCCUCAGAACCGUGCAAAGCACACGGAUGGACGGGUCCACUGAGAGCUGAUGCUGCCCUGGGGGCUGGUCUGAACUGACUCUGCAUCCUCGGUCCCCAUCUCUCGAGAUGCCUUACAGGAGCCGCUGACUCUCAGAGAAGAUUUUAUUUGAGAGCCCAGGACCAUCCUGUUUUCUCUGAAAUGGUGCUCUCUGUGAACAUUUGUGGCAUUGACAGUGAACAUUCUGGAACCUGUGUGCCCUGAGUUGCAUUCUGCCCGUGAAGACUUCCUGGGGUUCUGCAGCAGCAGCCGGCCGUCUGGGGCGGGUUUGCUUUUUCUGUGAUGGCGCCACCACUCCCCACGCCCAGCGUCAGCCUCGCCCGCGGGGGCCUCCCAGCCGGGCCACACUGCGGGCAGGGAGCGGCCGUGUGCCUCCCGCAGGGGGAGCAGAGGCCCUGUCGCUUUCAACACACGUUUCGUGGACGGUGUUUGCCCUGCCGCGCCACCACGCCCUGGCCCCCAGCGUCCCGUCACACCCAGGUGGCCUGCGGGAGGUGAGCGAAUGCAGACGCGUGCCCGCCGGCGCUAGUCUCUGGUCCCUGAAAAGAAGUUGCCCAUGUUAUUUUCGCUUGAUAUGUGACGAAACAAACAUGGUGCACUUCUUUUUCGGUAUCAAAUCUCAUCCUGAAGAGAUCCCUGGCCCCACUGGAACUUUGGGGAAGGGCCUUGGUGUCCUUACGCUCAUGGUAUGUACGUGGGGGAUUUGCCCCCUUCGACUGUGUGUUGGUGGGUCUGGGGGUGCUCGGUGGCUGGCCAUGCUCUGUCCAACCACAGGCAGCGUCCACCUCUAAGAACGGGCACAGCUGGCGAGGCCUCGGUCACGUGCCAGCUCCCCACUGCAAGGGAGGCCCGGGAAGCACGUUUCUGGGUUCUGUCCCAACAUUUGAGAGGAGUUCAGAUGCGAGCAGCCAGAGAACCAUACAACUAAACGGCAGCCAUAACAGCAAACAAGUAGCCAAUGUCGGUCAUCCGCCAGAGCUCUCCAGAGAUGGCGCGGGGGGUUGCCAGUGCGUGUAUUUUAAAGGUGCCCUGUCACCCAGGAGGACUGUCAUCCACACGUCCAUAGUAGACCUGAUUGGGGCCACCAACUGCAGUGGAAGGCAGCGGUCCCCGUGGUCGUGGGGGACGGGUUUUCCCAGAGCGCUCAUUCCGCUGGGACUGACCCCUUCCAGCCCGCCUCUUUCCAGGUUCUGCCUCAGAAGGAUGAAGGAUGUGUUUCUCGACGCCGUCAACAGAGAGGGGCCACUGGUGUCAGCUGCCAAUGAGGACCAGCGAAUGGGCGUGCCUGCAGAAUGUGUGCUCAUGAAAGACGCUGCCGUCCCGGUCCCUUAGCCUCCGCCUUCAGUCCAUCCUCAGGCCACCUCCCUAGAGGAGGGGCCGUGCGGCUCUGUGGAUGGUUCUCAUCGGAGGAGAGGUGAAUGCGCUUGAUUUAAGAUGAAUCAUUCUUGGUCAACCUCUUUCAGUAUCAGAUCCAACCUGGAGAAAAGGCUGUUUGAGCCGAGAUUCUUGGUGGCGUCUGCAGCUCCCUGGGGUAAGUGGCAGGCUGUGGUCCAGAGAGUGUGUAAGCGGCAGUCCUGGUCAUCUGGCCCACUAACCCUCAGCGUCUGUCUUCCCUAGCAGGAGUUCCUGGAGCUUGGCCAGCCGGGCUUACUCUCGGUGCUCCGUUUUGGAACUCAAAAAGAGGUUAUCUGUGUUUCUUCGCUUUAUUUAUGAUGAAAAAUACAGGCGCACUUCUAUUUGAGAUCAAAUCCCGUCACAACAGUCCAGCACCGACUUCUGGGACGAGAUGCUGGUGGCAGUCCCACUCGUGGCUCUCGGGCCAUGCUGGCCUCUGCACAUGCCUGUGUAAUGGUUGGCUCUCCUGCUCCACCCAUCCCCCAGGGCCUGUCCUCCCCUCAGAGAUCUUCCUGGAGGCGGAAACACCUUUGGAGAAGCAGCAGCUGUCUUCAGGUCAGGCUCAUCUGCGGUCUGUCAGCAAAGGUCGUCCAAGAGGGGCAGACACAGCUAACCUGGUCUACUUGUUCGAGUACCCCCCUUCUAGAUGAGGGGUGCCGACCUCGGGGAAGGCACAGCUGUGGGAGCACCUCCCCAGGGUUUCUGAACUGCAGGUGGAGGGCAUCCUGUGUCUGUCACAUGCCUCCAGGCCCAUGGACCUUCAGAAUCUCUUCAGCCCAGAGGGCCUCCUGGAGGAGUUCCGGUUCUGCAUUCCCUGUGGAAGGUGAAGAACAUUUGUCCCAUGAUGCCUUUGUUUUAUGCCCGAGGAACAUGAAAGGUACAGUUCUCUUUGCGAAUGGAGCCUCCUUCCCCAUCUCGGAGGGCUUCCGACUCCUGCCACUCAUGUCAGGGAGGGCACUGCUAGCUGCACUGCCCCAGGUACGUCCAAGGAAGGCCCCGAGGGAGCAUUCCGUCUCUGCUGGCGUCCGUUCUCCUUGCCUCAACUCCCACCAUCCGUUUCCUUUGCAGGAGGAUGCUCUGGCAGCCGGCGGAGAAACAGGGUCACAGAAGCUGGUCUGAGAUGUUCGAAAGGAGGUUGUCCGUGAUGUAUUUGCUUUGUUUGUGGCAGAUAUUGCACGGUUGAUCUCUUUUCAUCAUCAAAUGCCUUCUCGAAGGACUUGCUGCGCGGUGUUGGGUUCGGGAGUCGGUGUGAGUGUUGGCCCCUCUGAGGGUGUGGGAGCAGAUGGUCGACCAGAUGGCAAGUGUUUUUCUUUCUUUAUUUUCCAUUUUGAGGACCGAGAAUUUAUUGAAUGAAUCACCAUAUAAUCCUGUUUCCUAAGGUAAAUCUAUAAAGGUGAAAAAUUAGGUUCUACAACACCCAUUUUCUCUUUAAAAAAUUGACAAAGAAAUGUGAACAAAAACGUGUGCAACACAGUUUUCAGAUUUUUAAAAGAAUCUCAAAAUAUAUGCUGUCUGGUCCCUUGGUUUCUAAAACUUACUUCUAAAAGAAUGGAUAAGGCACAGACAUAUGCUGAAAAAAAUUGAAAUAACAAAUAUGAGAUAAUAAUGGGAAUUUUUAUGAAUAUGUCACAGGUGUCC